AUGAUUUUCAUUCUCUGUUGUGCCACCUGAGCAAGCACUGUAUUCCAUUUCUCCAAACUGUUUAGACACCUGAAAUUUGUUUAAUUACAGUGGGCACAUGGCAGAUGUCAAUUGCUGCAUAUCUGGGCAUUUGAUUCUCUGUCUCAAUACUUUGAAAUAAUUUGGAUGUCCCUCUCUUAACUCACUGUGGUUUAUGAAAGUGAAUCCCAGGAAAGCCAAAUUAAUACCAUGGAUAGAGUGAUCUACCUCAGUGUACAGGAAAGUGUGCAGCAAAUCCUGGACAGCUGAAAGGAAACUUCAUGAAUUUCAGUCAUUUUCUUCCUUUCCACCACUGCAGAUGAGCUCUGGUGGUGGGGGAACUGUGGAGUUCCUUUCUCCUCCUGUCCCUGUGCCAGAGCUUACUGGCCUCAUAGCACAGCUGGCAGCAGGGAACACGAAUUCAUGCCUGAGCUCUUUCUGCACAUAGUUUGGCAUAUUAGCUCACAUGCUGAUGAAACUGGAUUUGAGCUAAGAUGCAUAAAAGGGAAUUUUCUUGGCUAAAUGUGAGGUACUGCACAGAAAAAUGAAGGAAAAGGAAACCUUGGGAGAUAUAUUUUCCCUUAAUAUAUUAGAUAGUUCUCUCUCUGUGUCAUAUUUCUAUUGUUCUUAAAGGAGCUAUUUGAUUAUUAUACAUUUAAGGUAUUUUUUACAAUGGUAUUUUGUGCAUUUUAAUGAUUUUCAUACAUCCUUCUUUUUAUUAAAGCAAAAAUCUAAUAAAAAGCUUUCCUUGGCACAGUUUAAAUUAACUUUGGUUUUAAAGUUAGUCCCACAUAAGAUGUGUUUAUUAGGCUCCUGCAGUCUGGCAAAACCUGUUUACACAAAAUAAAGAUCCUCCCCACUGCUCUGUUUGAGGUUGGAAUUGAUAACACAUUUCACAAGUUCAGAGAAUUUGGAGGUACUGGAAUCUGGAGAUAGGAAAUGUCAUGAUAUUCUGUAAGAAUAUUCUGUAAUACAGUAAAAGAUCCAAACACACCCUCACCAUCUCAUCAAGGUUUGAGGCAAGAGUGAUGCUUACAGUUUUGGGAAAAGUCAUCAGCUUUUCUUCAACAAAAUUUUUUAAACUUCUUAGUGAAUUUUUUUAAUCUACUGAAGUAGAAAUGUGAAGUUAAGUAUAGGAGAGCAAAUUUCCUGGAGUAAAUUCCUCUACAUUUUUGUGGGGUUUUUCUGUAAAGUUUUUUAAGGAAAGCAUUAAUGGAUGAAAAAUGAACUAGAAUUUUUUAAUAGCUUGCCCUCCAGUAAAUUCAUAAUAUCAUAUUUUUUAGCAAGAGAAAGGCAGAUCGGUGCUUUAAGAUGUCAUACAAAACUAUUUUAACAUUGUAAAACUAAUAUGAGUGAUAUUAUGUUAUUUAAUAUGCCUCUCUGAGCUGACCAUUUUUACCUUAUCUAAAGAACAUGAAAAUUACAACAGAUUAAUGUUCAAUUAAUGCAUAAAAAUAACUUUCAAUGACCAGAACACAUCUUGAGAUUUUUUUCUGCUGACAUGGAUAAACUCCUAUUUGAACAUGCCUUAAUAUUUGUAUGGAUUCACAGCAGUCAACAACAAAUAUCCCUAGAAAUGUAAAAUUAUUCAGAAAAUGAGGAAAAAUAUUUAUUUUUCUAUUAAAAAUAAAAGGAUGUUUAAACCAUUGACCAUUUUGCCCAAUUUCUACCACCUGGGAUAGAUUAAAUCCAUUUCAGUUUUAUUAUUGUCACACAAAGUUAAAGAUUACCAUCUGUAGUGAUGGUGCAUUCUAAAAAUUCAAAACAUUCCACUUUUUGAAUGUUUUUGAUAUUUUGGGUAGUCCUAGGAGAGUUUCAUGCUUUCUUGAUAAAAAUCAGGAUGAAAAGUUCCUCUUUGUUAGUGCAGAGUGACAGAUGUACAUCCAAAGAAUUUCAGUAUCUCUGUGACUUAAAUAUUAAGUGGUCAUAGAAAAAAUACACUCUGAGAGGAGUAAAUUUUUUCUUAUUUGUUUUCCCAGCUGACAUGGGAGCUAGUUUGUUAUGUUAGAGCAUUUAUGCCAACAAGAUGCAGAACCUGAAUUAUCAGUAAUUUUUGGAAGCAAAAAUGGUGCCCAUCUAAUAUACACUUUCACAAUGUCUGCAGCACCACCUUUUCAUUUUCAACCUUUUCUUACUUGGCAACCAAAAAAAAAACCAAAAAAGCUUGAAUUGUAGUCUGAGAAGUGUGCUAUAAUUAUCUUUACAAUCUGCUCCAAUUACAUACUGUCUUACACUUGACAUCUACCAUUAGCAAUUUUGCACAAAUGGCAGUAAACAUAUGACAAUUACUGAUCUCACUGCUUACCUGCAUCAACUGAUUUCUGCUUUCUUUCUGGGAGUAGAAAGCUUUUGCAUUUCUGAGGCAGUAAUUUUACAUUUGAGAAAAUUCUGCUGUCAUCAUCACUUUCACCAUCACAAUCCAUGUAAGAAUGUAACUCAACUAAACCCAAAUUACUAGUCCUCAGUCUUAGCUCUUUAUCACCUUCCAGUCUGUGCACCUCAGUGCUGGCUCUGCUGGUUCUGGAUACUUGUUCCCUAAAAGAAAGCACGCAUUUUGGUCAGCCUCCAGCAAACCCAGUCCAACCUCAGGGAUGCCCUCUGGGCAGUCAAUCCUCAUUCCUCCCAGCUGUCCAGCAACCCUUGUUUCCUUCCAGCCAGGCUCUUCACCUGUGAGCAAUUGCCAUAGGCAAGCUAAUUUUUCUCUCUUUUUUGAGAAAAUUGUCUAACUUGAUCCUGUCUUGAUACUCCCACGUUUAUUUUUCUUUAUAAGGAGCCACUUCUUCCUUCUGACAUUACCACGAGGUUCUGACACAUGUCUUCAAUGUUUCUCUGUACUCAAGUUUGCAGUACCAGCUUCUGUAUGGGCUGAAGACCUGGAGAACUUUUGCAGAGAACUGUACUCAAGCUCCUUCACAGAAAUACUUGUUCUGGAAAAUCUGGCUUCCUAUUGUCUUUUAAAGCUUUACUCUGAAAAAAAAAUUCUCACUGGCCAUUUGCAAAAAAAAAAAAAAAAAUCCUGCCAGAAUUUAAAUGGGAAAUGUUUGUGGUUUACAUGGACAUUAAUGAAACAGGCUAGAAGUUUUCUCCCUUGUAUGGCAUUUCCUUAUUUGAUUCAUGAGUGCAAAACCCAGGAUUUUGCACUAACCUGGUUCUGCAGGCAAAGACUCCAACCACAUUCCCUCUUGCUAUUUAAGGUGCAUGAUUUAUCACUGCCUCAGGGAGGCACAGAAGAGGAAUUUCUUACUCAUGAAUUUAUGUCAAUUUUUUGUUAAAUAAUUGCAUGGAAGUCGUGUUCAGUUCUGGAAACAGGAUAAACCAGCAGUUAUUUUCAUUUCUGUGUGCUCUCUGCAAAGGUUUACGUCACUGAUUUAGUCCUCACCUUGCUUAGGCAGCUGAUUAAUGAAUUAUGGUUGAACUUGAUGAACUUAAAGGUCUUUUCUAAGCUAAAUGGCUCUGAUUCUAUUAAUUAAUAUGUAUUUCUCAAAUGAAAAACCAGGGCUGGGUGUCCCCAGUAUGUGAACAAAUGCACCCCAUGGUGAGGAGCCACAUUUGGCAGGAGAGGGGGACCAAACCCCUGGGCAGGACCAGGGCGGCAGACAGGACAUGGCUCACCACAGUCCUGAUUUUCAUUGUGCAUGGGUUUUUUUUUCUUUCCUUUCUAAGCUGAAAAGGUUAAUGUUUGACUAUUUAUUUGGCUGAGCCUCCUUAAAGGCAUGAGCUCAGUGGACCAUUUUAAUAACAGCAGACAGUGCUUCCUGCCCCCUCUUCUCCCUGGCCCUGGGAGCUAUUCUUACCAGGAAAUACGAAAGUCCACAAACACCACAUCACUGGCCCACAACCCCAUGUCAGCAGCUCAGAUUAAUCAUCUUGAUACUCUUUAACUUUUGGUGACAAGCUAUUACAUUUGUGUUUUAAAUAGUCCAGGAAAUUUGGGUCAGGAUUGACAGCUGGGAACUUCAGUUCCAAAGUUUAAUAUUAAUUCUUUCUUCAUCUUCUUAAUGCUUUUGAGUACAGACACCUGUCUGUUGGCUUCCAGAGGCAUUGGAGUUAACAGUGAAAUAAUUUAAUUUAAUUCUUUGGGGUUAUCAUCCCGAGAACAGGGUAACAUCUAGCUGUGUAGAAAGAUAAUUAUAUUUACUUACAUCAUCAGGUGUUGUGAGGACCACUUACUUAACAGCACUUGUGUGUUUCUCCAGGGAAUGCCAGGACUUCCACAGGUACCAUGGUAAUCUAACAUUAAACAUUUUUUUAGCAAUAUAAGGAAGCAAUUUUACUUAAGAACUGAGACAAUUUUUAUGCAUUAAAAUGUUUCCAGUGUUUCCUUCUGGUUUUAAGACUGUCCUUGAGAUUUUACAAAAAUGCCCUUUACCACAAUUAAGAGGGAUAGGUUUUCACUUUCUGGGAUUUAAAUCUUGCCUUUUGGAGAAAGAAGGAGAGCUUAGUAUUCUCCAAACAGGGCAGUUCUGCAUCACAAAAACAGGUUUAAAUCACACACUUUGAUCUUGCUUCAUUCUCUUUUCUUGCUCUAUUUCUACUGUGUCUCGGUCUGAUUUUUAGCUGAUCUGUUUACUGACCUUUAAAGCCUCUCCUACAUCACUUCAGAGGCAAGAGGAGGACCUUGCCUUGCCUUGCAGUGUUAUCAGAUAAAGUAUGAAGUGCUGAACCUCUGGAAGCAAGUGAGUACCUGACCUUGGCUUUGUCUGGGUACUAAUGAAGGGAAAAAAUAGAUGGGAUGAAAUUCAAACCUUUGUAUAUUUUUGGUACAAGCCUGUAUAUGAACAUCUUAAUUUUGAUGUGAGGCCUUAAGAUCACAAGGGAAUAGAUUACAGAUUGCUUCUAAGCAGUUUUACUUAAAAACUAUCCAAAUCACUUUUGUUUCAAAUUAAACAAAAGUUAUGUCAGUUAACUUGCAUCAGUUGGGAACAAAUCAAAAAAAGAUGAAGUAAAAGUGCCAUUAAUCCAAAGUCAGAAUGGUCACACCAGUUAAAUUGGUGUGACUGCCUGUAAUAGAGAAGACUUAGUAUCAUGAACUAUUGAAAUAAUUUAUUCAGAUGUAAUUCUGCCCAAAGGAUGAUUUCAAGCAAUAACUUCCUUUUCCUCAGCCUUCUUUGUACAGAAAGUUUGUUAAAUGCACUGAUGCUUUAUAAUUUUUUGUUAUUGUUAAGAAAAACUUCUUCCCAUUGAGUUAACUUGUGUCCUUGGUUUUCUUAUGUGCAGUUCCUCUGGAAAUAAAACUAAUAAAACAGUUUGUAUUGCAGGAAAGAAUUUGAUUCACAGUGUUUUCAAGAUUUCACCCCUCUCUGAGCUGUGAUGUUGAUUCAGGACGGUGUAACCACUCAUGGACAAAUUUUUUGUUGGAAGCUACUUGCACUUUAGUGGAAAGACACUUGCAUGGCUGUUCUGUCUCCAUCUCUGCUGUUUUCCAUUCCUUUAUCUCUGGCCACAUUUCAAUUACCUGUUCUGGAAAGAGACCCACCCACACUUAUCAGCAGUGGAAAUUUUCAAGGUGAUAUUUUAGAAGGGAGUAACUAAAUUCUGCAUAUAGCCCAUUAAUAUCAAUUAUGGGUGUUCAGAUCAAUACCAAUAGCAGUGAUAUUGUUUAGAAUCUUGAAUUAAUGUCAUUAUGCUGCCCACUCAGCUAUGGGCAUUUUCAGGCACAAUGCACUACUUGCAUUUUAUUAUAAUGUAUCUUUUCUGAAAACUCACAUCAUGGUGGGUACAUUGCCAUGUCACAAGGCACCAUUCAGAUGGAUGGUACAGAGUGCUGGGCUGACAGGGCACCCUGCAGUGGCACUCUUGUGACAAGGAGUGUCCUCAGGAUGGAUUUCUUGCUGUCAGAUCCCUCUCCCACUAGCCAGGUUUACCAGAACCUUUCAUGCACCAGCCUCCUCCUUGCUCUGUGCAGCUCCUGGCUUUUCUUACUGGUUUCUCUUGUGAAGCAAAGAGUGCCACCACCAGGGCGGGAAAAAUUAACAUGGCUCUGAGAUGCCUGGGGACCUCAGCCUCACCAGUCCUGUCUCAGCAAUCAAGAGUUGGCACUCUGUUAACUGGGUGCCCACAGGCAUGUUUUAAAUAACCUCAUCAGUCUGGAUAACUCUUAUUGGUUCCCCCUUCUCAAGUCUGCCAGAAUUAAAAGAAAAAAAGGAAAGAUUCUCAGGAGACUUUCCCCAGCAAAACCAGGAUUAUAUUAUUGGCACUUCCAUUACAUUGCUGAGCAGAUUAUGAAGAGUUUUGAGUGCACAAUGCAUGUGACCAUUCUUUCAACAGAGAUGAAGAACCAUAAAACACCUGCCCAGCACAUGGGCACACUCCUCACCAAGCCAUCAGAGCAAAUCUCUCAGCUGCCUAAGGUGAUGGGAAUGUAUCAUAUCUGCUAUCUGAUGGGCCAGGGAACAAAGGGUGGGCAAGUCCUGCACCAGGGCUCUGCAGACAAAGGCACAUGGAUCACAGGUGCAGCUCUGGCUCUGCCCUCAAGGCAAUGAGCUCCUUAAUGGACUUUGCAACAUUCAUGACAAGCAAUUAUGUCCAGGCCCAUGACAUUAAAUGCACAGACAUGGCAGCACAGAUCUUGGGGGCUGUCACAAAUUGACGCUAAAUGAAUUGUCCAGGAGCCUGGCUCGGUACAGCAGUUGCUUUCUUUGAAAACAACAGGGUGUUUUCUCCUCUGCAGCCUGGGUUAGAACAGCAAUGCAAUUGCUCUCUCUUAUGAGGAUUAAAUGACCCACUCAGUUACUUUGAGCCACUGAAAUUUAAAUGGGGACAUAAAAUCUGAGCAUUAGUCAGAUAUUUAGAGCCUAACCAAGGACUCUUUCUUUUGUCUCACCUCAUUCACUGUACCACCCUGCUGUCAAAAUGUAACUCUACUUAAAAUGAUGACAUGCCAGUACAUGUUUUGUAUAUAAAUUAUUAAAACAAAGUUGUUCAAGUUGCUCAAACAUAGGAAAGAGAGGCAGUGUCAGAGUUAUGAGUUUAAAAGCAAUAAGGCUGGUCUGUCCACUUUCCAACUUAAUUCCUAGAACAAAUUCACUUAACAUCCAUCACAAAUAAAUCUGAAUAGGAGACACAUGCUGGUACAACAUGUGACUCUCACAGCCAGCAAAAUGUGCCUCAGAAAGAGGCACCAUCUUUUUAAUGACUGGACAAUCCUACAAUCCUUUAAAGAAGUUUUAGUUAAGAUUUUAUUUUGUGGACUUAAAACCAAAUUAGAAGCUCAGAACUCCAAGUUGUAUUCCUCUUGCAAAUUACUUGAGGUCAUAAACCAAGAUUGAUAUUAAAAGAGGAGGUG